rnacentral:rRNA from 1 species
GGGGGGGGGGGGGGGGGGGGCGGGGGGGGGCAGGGCGAGCGGGCGGGCGGGGGGGUGGCGCCUGUGUCGUGAGCGGGGGGCGGGGGCGUAGCCGGGGGAGCACCUGCCUGUGAUGCUGGGAGAGCGUCGGGAAACCGGGGCUAAGACCGGCUAAUAUAUUGACCCGCAUGUUUCAAAUGUGAAAGCCGGUUUUGCUGUCAACUACAGAUUGAUCCGCGCCUCAUUAUGUAGUUGGUAAGGUAACGGCUUACCCAGGCAAAGAUGCGUAGACGACCUGAGAGGGUGAUCGGCCACACUGGAACUGAGACACGGUACAGACUCCUACGGGAGGCAGCAGUAGGGAAUAUUCCGCAAUGGGCGAAAGCCUGACGGAGCAACGCCGCGUGAGUGAUGAAGGUCUUCGGAUCGUAAAACGCUGUUAUUAGGGAAGAACAAAUGUGUAAGUAACUAUGAACGUAGUGACGGUACCUAAUCAGAAAGCCACGGCUAACUACGUG